AGAAGGUAAAAGAAACAAUGUGGUUUAAGUCAAGGUGAAAAUAGAUAUGAAAAUAGAUAACUAAUAUAGUUUCCCUUCUUCACAUUAUGUGUGAUAACUUGAGAAAUAUGUUGUCAAUACUAUUAAAAUGAGAAAAAAACGUAAUGGUACUUAGGGGAUUACAGUUUUUGCAUAAAUACUAUAUUGGGCUUUAUUAAAGUUUAUGAAAAUAGAAUGCAUGUAUAUGCAUUUUAUAUUUAUGCACAUAAAUGAAACAUUUUCAAAUCUCUGAACAGAUAUUGAAGUAUUAGCUAUCCUGUGGCGCCAUCGUGUGGAUAUCAUUAGCAUUGUGGCCUUCAUUUCUGAACAACAUUAUGAAAGGGGCCAAUAUUUUUUGAAUGAUUACAAAUGUUUAAUGAUUAGUUCACUGAUAAUAUACCCACAUUAAAAUCGAAUUUACUGAUUCUGUAUCUUAUUUCAUGCUUUAAGAGUUUAUUUUUCAACUUACAUUUUCAAGUAGUGAUGAAUGAUAACUAUGUGAGUUGAUAAAUUAUUUUUUUGCAAUUAUAAUACAUAAACUAUAUAAUGAUGACAAAAUUACAACAGUUAUUUUUUUCAUAAUAUUUAUUAUUGACAAUACAAAAUAUAGACAUAUAAAAAAAGCUGCCAAGACGAAUGAUUUGUCUUGCACCGAAAAGCCAGAAUCAGCGUCCUCUGUAACUCGAGAGAUCGAUGCAAUGUCUUUUUCUGCCCUAAGACAAAAAAAUAUCUCACCAGCACUCAUUUUCUCUAUAAUAUAUUCUUCUAAUUGUUUUGUACUGAUUCGCUGGAGUGUUUUAAUGUAAAAGGCUGUAGUUUCAGUAUGUAGACCUUUUUCCCCAUGCCAGUGUUGAAGUCUCGAGCCGUCAGAGAGUCUGCUGCAAAUCAUUCAAUUUCACCAUUUACCAGCUCACAAAAAUCUGCAUUUAGCCGAUGGUGUGUUCUAAUGGGUGGAUUGUGUGCAAUCGCUGUAAUAUUUUAUUUUUAAAAGGUCUUAAACAGGAAUAAACUCGUUUGUUGUGAGAUCGUUGUGAAGCCGCGGGGUCUCGCCUUGUCAAAAUAGCUGACGCAAAUCCUUCAUUUUCCACACUUCAACAGCUGAAAAACACCCACUUUUAGCUCUUGGUUUGUUCUAAUGGGUUGAUUGUGUGCAAUCGCUGUAAUAUUUUAUUUUUAAAAGGUCUUAAACAAGAAUAAAUUCGUUUCUUGCGAGCUCGUUGUGUCACUGCACGAGAAGCCGCGCCGUCUCGCGCUGUCAAAAGAGCUGACGCAAAUCCUUCAUUUUCCACACUUCAACAGCUGAAAAACACCCACUUUUAGCUCUUGGUUUGUUCUAAUGGGUGGAUUGUGUGCAAUCGCUGAAAUCUUUUAUUUUUAAAAGGUCUUAAACAGGAAUAAAGUCGUUUGUUGUGAGGUCGUUGUGAAGCCGCGCGGUCUCGCGUUGUCAAAAUAGAUGACGCAAAUCCUUCAUUUUCCACACUUCAACAGCUGAAAAACACCCUCUUUUAGCUCUUGGUUUGUUCUAUUGGGCGGAUUGUGUGCAAUCGCUGUAAUAUUUUAUUUUUAAAAGGUCUUAAACAAGAAUAAAUUCGUUUCUUGCGAGCUCGUUGUGUCACUGCACGAGAAGCCGCGCCGUCUCGCGCUGUCAAAAGAGCUGAUGCAAAUCGUUCAUUUUCCACACUUCAACAGCUGAAAAACACCCACUUUUAGCUCUUGGUUUGUUCUAAUGGGUGGAUUGUGUGCAAUCGCUGUAAUAUUUUAUUUUUAAAAGGUCCUAAAUAAGAAUAAAUUCGUUUCUUGUGAGCUCGUAGUGCGAGUGCAGGAGAAGCCGCGCCGUCUCGCGCUGUCAAAAGAGCUGACGCAAAUCGUUCAUUUUCAAACUUCAACAGCGGAAAAACACCCACUU
ensembl:lncRNA